rnacentral:lncRNA from 1 species
UUUUUGAAGAUCAAGGGAAUUAGAGAGAGGAGCUUCAUGCUUCGGGUCGGAGAAGGAAAGACAUAGAAUUUGGAUUUUUCUUCUUCGUAGAGUUUUGGGAAGACUGAGGCAAUCGUUGCUGAAGUCAGUGUUGUAAUGGUGAAUCGAGAUUUUUAAAUGAAGUGGGUUUGAAUACUCUUGACUGUUUUGUAAAAUUGAGUUACGUCUGUGAUUGAAGGAUUAAAGGGGUGUCUAUAGGAUUGAGUAUGCGGAGUGAAUGAAAUUUAUUGGGUUAAUCUAACAGGACAGUCAGUGGAUACAAGAUCGUAAGUACAAAGGGGUAUUGAAGAUUAAUAGUUUGGGAUGUUCGAGGUUCUCUGUAACGU